UACGUAGGGGGCAAGCGUUAUCCGGAUUUACUGGGUGUAAAGGGAGCGCAGACGGCAGUGCAAGUCUGAUGUGAAAGCCCGGGGCUCAACCCCGGAACUGCAUUGGAAACUGUACAGCUUGAGUGUCGGAGAGGUAAGCGGAAUUCCUAGUGUAGCGGUGAAAUGCGUAGAUAUUAGGAGGAACACCGGUGGCGAAGGCGGCUUACUGGACGAUGACUGACGUUGAGGCUCGAAAGCGUGGGGGGCAAACAGGAUUAGAUACCCCCGUAGUCCCUGA
rnacentral:rRNA from 1 species